UGGGGAAUAUUGCACAAUGGGGGAAACCCUGAUGCAGCGACGCCGCGUGAACGAAGAAGGCAUUCGUAUCGUAAAGUUCUGUCCUAUGGGAAGAUAAUGACAGUACCAUAGAAGAAAGCUCCGGCUAAAUACGUGCCAGCAGCCGCGGUAAUACGUAUGGAGCGAGCGUUGUCCGGAAUUAUUGGGCGUAAAGGGUAUGCAGGCGGUUUAAUAAGUCGAAUGUUAAAGAUCGGGGCUCAACCCCGUAAAGCAUUGGAAACUGAUAAACUUGAGUGGUGGGGAGGAAAGUGGAAUUCCUAGUGUAGUGGUGAAAUACGUAGAUAUUAGGAGGAAGAGCAGUAGCGAAGGCGACUUUCUGGACACAAACUGACGAUGAGGUACGAAAGCGUGGGGAGCGAACAGG
rnacentral:rRNA from 1 species